rnacentral:rRNA from 1 species
UACAGAGGUCUCAAGCGUUGUUCGGGAUUCAUUGGGCGUAAAGGGUGCGUAGGCGGCGCGGUAAGUCGGGUGUGAAAUCUCGGAGCUUAACUCCGAAACUGCAUUCGAUACUGCCGUGCUUGAGGACUGGAGAGGAGACUGGAAUUUACGGUGUAGCGGUGAAAUGCGUAGAUAUCAGGAGGAACACCUGUGGCGAAAGCGGCUCACUGGACCACAACUGACGCUGAGGCACGAAAGCUAGGGGAGCAAACAGG